rnacentral:snoRNA from 1 species
UUUAGAUGAUGAAUCUAUCCAGAACCUGAUUUCAUGUGAAUGAAACUCGCAUACGGAUCUGACUGCUGAUAU